CUUAUAUUUGAAUUGUUUUUCUUAAGUACUUAGAAUCGCGACCCUUUAGCUAUUUUAAACAAAGCAUCAGUUUCUUUGAAGUCGUCUGUCAGGAGUUCGAUUAACUCUCUUCGCUGGAAGCCAACACGUAGAAAAUUGCCUAACGUCAGUGGCCCUUGUCCGCGCGUCGGAGACGAUGCAGAUUUUCAGCAAGUGAAGACAUUCAAAAGGGACAGUUUGAUCGGGCCUUGAUACGAAUUUUCAUGAAAAAGAACCGAAAACGUGGCUUGGCCCCGGGUACCACCGGCUUUUCUAAGCUCUACAGCGGCAAAGAACCAAGGUGGGGGCAGAACGAGGGACCGAGACGAGGCAUAUUAAAACGGCGUGGGGACGAGCGAAACGCGAGACCAAAGCAGUUUUACAACACCGGCAGACGCUGCGAUAUUGCUCCGUCGUGCUUUCUGCUUUCUGGGAAAGGUCCGAAGCUCUCUCUCUCUCUCUCCCCACUCUCUCAUUUUCUCUUUCCCCUACCCUCUAUUCUCUCCCCGCUACACCCCGUCACUCUUUCACCUACACGUUUGCACAACUUUGAACACGACCUACACGAACACUACCUCUUUCUACCAGUACUUCGUACACACUCUCAUAUCCAUACCUCUAUCUCUCUUUCCUUCCUUCCUCUCUUCCUCACUACCCCAUUCUCAUCAGUAGUAUUUCUCCCUCUUUCUCUCCCCUAUUCCCCUGAUCUAUCAACACCACCUAUCCUUCUCCCUCGCAAGAUACUCACACAAAUUCCACGCUUUUAUAUCCGUGUCUCGCUCGAUCUUUCAGUUACCCCCAUCUAACCCUCACUCGCUUACACCCACGCCAGUCUUUACCAUUUGCCUCUUUCUAUAGCGAAGGCUGGUAGUAUCUAUCUCUAUCCACAUUUCGUUCUCUCUCUUCAAUCGCAUCUCCUGCUCUAUCUCCAUUUCUACCCAGCUUCGCUGGUACCGCUUUCUCAUAUUCUCUCUGCGCGCGCCACUAUGGCGCAUCACUAUAGGAAGAUAUAGUGCGGGCCCGACUACACCGCACGCAACUAUACAACGUAUAGUAGUACGGCGCAACGCGGCAACGGAAGACAAGGCCGUACCACUCGCGGCGAACUGAGGAUACGAAAACAGUUUUACACGACCGACGCCAAUGGUCUACGUACCACCAUUAUGAUAGCUCGACAGAGUAAAUAAUAUCGUGGGUAUUCAUUAAUCAAGUAAGUGAACCUUGAUGCGGAACGUGACACACAUCGAGCGAAUUUUUCAAGGGUCGAAAAUGUAUUUCUUUUUCUCGUCUCCCUUCGCCGAUCUAUGUGUCGUGUUGCACUACUGACGCGCAACACUCGCGGGAAACGUAGCAACCAAACCACCCACUCGAGUAUACCAGUUGCUAAUUCGUUUUGCUCAUAGCCCCCUCUUGCAAAACAGAAUCACAAAUCGAGGCGUAUAUACAUAUUCGUUCGCAUAUUUCAGAAACAUAGCGAAGUAACGUAUACAGCUUCUUUCUACGUGCACCAGCAUAAACGGGUGCUCACGGAAAUAUAUACCCAUUGUACCAUCGCGGAAUCGAUGUGUGCGUGAAGAGGGUUAGCAUCCUACACGAUUGAAGAACACGUCGUGCUACGUAGACACACGCUAUGUGUCGAUAUGUGCGUGCCUCUUACACAACGUAAACGCUCGGUAGUGUAGGUUGCUUUGGCAUAAUAAGAGCGAGGGAGCGGAAUAUAAUGCAACCUCCUGCGCUCAGUGGCCUCCCUGGAAGCUGUGGAAUGUACCACCCACCCUGCCCUCCCAUUCUAUACAACCGAGAGAAGAGUCGUGCGGCGUUGGUCGUUGUAAACACUUCGUCGGACUAUUAAUACUAAAAAUCUCGAAUCAGUACGAGACGUUACUCUGUGAUACUAACUGGAGUUUUAUAGGUCGUUACACGGAGGUUAAAAUUAUUUUUAAUAGGCUAUUUUCGUCCCCUGAUUCACUCUCUCUAAUCUUCUAAUUAUGCGAAUUUUCUCCUUUUCUAUUUUUAGUCGGAUGUACAUUUGAAGAUUAAAGGUGUUACGGCCGAUAUCAAGGGACAAAAAUUAAUUUUACCAAUCGUGGCACGCUAAUCAAUCAUGAUUCUUCCACACUUCGUCCAAGCUCAAUUCCGUCAAUUACUCGAGCGAGCUAUUCGCCAACGGCAUCGAGAACUUCACAAUAACUAAGAAACAAGGCAGAGGAAGAGAAGGAAGAAGGGGAGGAAAAAAUCUGACAAGAAGCAACACGACCACGACGAUGUUAAAGGACAAGGGUGGAAAAAGAGAGGCUGGGUGGUGGUAGCGAAGAGACGAACGAACCUAUGGAUAUUUCGCGAGGGUGCGAAAGAGAUGGAGGGUGAGCUGCGGGGGUGUAUAUUGGGACUUGUAAAUGGGGGUGGGAGGUUCCACCUCCGGCCGAAUCGAUCCCACCGCAGUGUAGCACUAUAGCAGUCCACGUGCAUACAUACCAUGGAUUUCUCUCUCUCCCUCUCUCUCUCUCUCUCUCUCUUUCUCUUUCGCUAUUUAGUUCUCCUUCUUCCCUCGUUCUCUACCCCGUUCGUUCCUUCACCCUCGUACUUUCUCUCGUAUACUCUCCACACUCGUUGCACUACACCGUAACAAACCGACGCAGCUGCGCCAGUACGCGUUCGACCGAGUGCAGCCGGAACAGGAUUUCUGGAUGCUGAAUGAAACUUUUUUUUAAUGAUCGUGAUUAAUACGUUGACACUGUUUCAACAGACACGAUGCGGCGGUGGUCGUGAACUUUUACGGGUUCCGUGUGGGUGACGUUCCGCGAUGUGAGAUGUACAACGCCAGGUUCUGGACCAAGCACCGCUCAAGCGGAUGAAACAUAGCUCUGUGGACGUUGAUGGAUUCGCGAAUCAGCAUCAAAGGAUACUAAAUCUCUAUUAUCUGCUCCCGGCAAAGAUGAUUCCGUUCCGGGACCAUCGUGAAUUCCGCCUGAUCGCCUCCGUAUUCCAAAAUUUUGUAUACACCACCAUAUCUCACAUUAUUGGCAACUCAUUGAAAUAUUCCAAAUUUAUGUCAGCAUCUUAACUUGCACUACCGAUCAUAAGUAUUAACACAUUCCGUACAAUCGAAAUAAUAUUACCCAUUAAUAAUAAAUCCACGAUAGUCAUAUUAUAAA